rnacentral:misc_RNA from 1 species
GAUGAAGAACGUAGCGAAAUGCGAUAAGUAAUGUGAAUUGCAGAAUUUAGUGAAUCAUCGAAUCUUUGAACGCAUAUUGCGCCCGCCAGCACUCUGGCGGGCAUGCCUGUUCGAGCGUCAUUUCAACCCUCAGGCCUCGCGUCUGGCGUUGGGGCGCUGCGGCCCUCCCGCAGGCCCCCAAAUUUAGCGGCGGAUUCCCCGCGGCCCUGAGCGCAGUAGAGAGUAAAAACUUUAACGCUACGGCGGCCGUGGCGCGGUUCUGCCUCUUUCCCAAUAGCGCCAAUAGCGCCACCCCCAAAAAAGUUGACCUCGGAUCAGGUAGGACUACCCGCUGAACUUAAGCAUAUCAAUAAGCGGAGGA